rnacentral:rRNA from 1 species
AUUGAACGCUGGCGGCAGGCCUAACACAUGCAAGUCGAGCGGUAGAGAGAAGCUUGCUUCUCUUGAGAGCGGCGGACGGGUGAGUAAUGCCUAGGAAUCUGCCUGGUAGUGGGGGAUAACGUUCGGAAACGGACGCUAAUACCGCAUACGUCCUACGGGAGAAAGCAGGGGACCUUCGGUCCUUGCGCUAUCAGAUGAGCAUAGGUCGGAUUAUCUAGUUGGUGAGGUAAUGGGUCACCAAGGCGACGAUCCGUAACUGGUCGGAGAGGAUGGUCAGUCACACUGGCAAUGAGAAAAGGGCCAGACUCCUACGGGAGGGAGCAGUGGGGAAUAUUGGAAAAUGGGGGAAAGCCUGAUGCAGGCCUGCCCGGUGUGUGAAGAAGGUUCUCGGGUUGUAAAGCACUUUAAGUUGGGAGGAAGGGUUGUAGAUUAAUACUCUGCAAUUUUGACGUUACCGACAGAAUAAGCACCGGCUAACUCUGUGCCAGCCGCCGCAGUAA